AUUCGGCUUCAAGACGCGGCCAUCUUUGUUUACAUUCCAAUUAAGGGCACGGCCAUCUUUGUUUACGUUCGGCUUAAGGGCGCGGCCAUCUUUGUUUAUACUCGGCUCCGGGACGCCGCCAUCUUUGUUUAAAUUCUUUUUUCUUUGUUCAUACGAGGAACGGUUACUUGAGCUAAAUCUGUUCAGUCUCAAGCAAAGGAGACUGAGGGGGGACAUGAUCCAGGUAUAUAAGAUUCUAACAGGUUUGGAUGCUGUUCAACCAAAUAGUUACUUCAGCAUUAGUUUAAAUACACGAACUCGUGGCCAUAGGUGGAAAUUAGCGGGAGAACAUUUCAAGCUGGAUUUAAGGAAGCACUUCUUUACACAGCGCGUAGUCAGAGUAUGGAAUAGUCUUCCUGAUAACGUAGUGCAAGCUGAAUCCUUAGGUUCCUUUAAAUCAGAGUUAGAUAAGAUUUUAACAACUCUGAGCUAUUAGUUAAGUUCUCCCCAAGCGAGCUUGAUGGGCCGAAUGGCCUCCUCUCGUUUGUAUAGUUCUUAUGUUCAUUGCAGAAUAGAAACCCACAAAUGCAGCUCCCUCCACCAGCAACGCCAACCAGCUUAAGCGCUUCUAUGCUCAGUUUGAUAUGGACAAUAAAGAAACUGCCACAAAAUCCAUGCCCCUGAUGACCAGCCCCUUAUAAUUCCACCACCGUUGUGGGGUCCAUACUACAAAGAGUCAACGCAAGGUAAGCUGCAAAGUGCAGACAAAUUUACAACCUACCCUACCAGGGGGUUCAUUUGAAGCCGGCACCCGGCGAUAUUUCGCCGCCUGUGGGUAAGUACAUAGCCGGCUACUUUCAGUUGUUGAAAAAAAAAAUCUGCCUCUGUUACCAGAAUCAAACGAUCAGCACUCGGUGCCACAAUAAAAGAUUUAUUUUGCAGAAAUUUCCGUGUUCUGUCUAGGCGCAGCCAUCUUCAUCUUAGCUUGGCUUUCUUAAUUCUUAUCUUCGUUUUGAUUGGCUAUUUUUGGCAAGUUUUUAUUCUGCGUUUUCUGAUUGGCUGAUUGAGGCAAGUGGACAAAAUGGCGUCUAGAAAGCGAAGCAGCCUUCUUGACCAGUGGCUGCAACCGAGCGCGAAAUUGCCCAGGACUGAAGGAACUGAAGUUCCUCCUGUCAUCAGAAGCAGCACCAGCACCUGCCUGCCAUCACCUGCCCACUUUGAGACUCAAAUCUUAAAAUAUAGACAGUGUGAAUUGGGACCUUGACAUUUUGCUCAUAUCACUUCCUGUGCCGGCACUUGGAGGAUGGGCUUCCCCUUUGAGUCUGGUUCCUCCCAAGGUUUCUUCCUUCUAAGGAGUUUUUCCUUGCCACUGGUUUGCUCUCUGGGGGCUUUGGGCAGGGGAUAAGGUAAAGUGAUUUGAGACAAUGUAAUGUGAAAAUGCAUGACAGAAGUAAUGUUGAAUUGAAUUGAAAUUAAUCACACCAGCUUGUCUCAGCUGACAGCAGCUCUUACUUAUCUGAUGAGGGGUAAGGGGAGAAAGAUAUCACAUACCUUCUAGUCAACAUCAAAAUAAAUAUACAUAUAAUAAUGUAUUGGAAACUGGUAUAAUACUCACUAAAUGGGACCUAUUAUGCUUUUCCCUUUCUAUUAGUGUGUUUUAUGGCUUCAGGUGCAUGUAAACAGUCUGUAAAUUCUUAAGACGCAAAGUACAUAGCAAAGGGAGUAACUUUCACCACGGAAACCACUCUUCUCUCAUCUGCCUAAAACACCUCAUUGGAAUUCCAGCCCUUAUUUUCACAACACGAUGAGGUCUCUUCAUAACACAAUCCUUAUUGGCUGUCUACCUGCAAGGAUCUGUCUGCCAACUGCAAGACAGGGGAAUGAAGGAUCCCACAUCUCCAGCCCGCUGUUCCUGGGAAAAGCCACCUGCCAAUCAUCCUUGGAGCAGCAGGC